GUAAAGGAAUGAAAAACCUACCCUUUGUCAGGCAAGGGUUUGUCUAUCUAUGGAUUUUAUGGAGCUCUUAUGAUCAGGCACCUAAACAGACAGACUUCUGGGGAAGAGAGAAAAGAUGAUUUCCCAUUGGGAUGGAGCCAGAGGCCACGACUGACAUAUCUGGUGCUUUUUUGGCUCACCAGGGAAUAAUGAAAGGAGGAGAAAAGGGAAAGCAAAAUGCAGAGCUAAUAGGAAACAAGCAGAAUCACUGAAAUGCCAGAAAGUGGGACCUCACUAAGGGGAGGAGAAUCAGGGCAAAAGGAGAAACUUAGAGUGGCUACCACUUGGCUUCAAAAUGUCACUGCAUUGUCCGAUUGAUGGGAAGGCUCCGAAACAUGGAUUAAUGAUCUUUUCUUAAAAGAAAGCUAUACAGAAUAAAAGAGAGAGAUACGACAGGAAGAAUUACUGCUCCCCGAACCCUGAUUAAGGUUUAGUAUGUUACAUUCAAAACAGUGUAAUAGGGAAUUUGUGGAUUCCCAGCUACAUUAAGUGAGGAUAAAGGAAACAGCAUGAUAUAGUAAAUUAUCCUCCUGGAAACACUGCAAAGAGGGGGAAAAGGAAAUCUCCGGGUGCACAUGACCAAUUUAAAGAAAACAGGUCAGAUAAGAGAACGAGUUGUGUGCGUGGAAAAGGGAGAUUGUUAUGGGGCCCUGGAGCAUUCGGAACGGUCUGAGUGAGUUUUACAAACCCAGGGCAAGAUCUUCAGCUGGUGUCAGUGUGAUUGCAUUGGUGUCGAUAUAACUAUGCGGAUUUACACCACCUGAGCCUUUUGGCCCCUCCCCAGCUCCUUUUCUAGGAGGAGCCAGUGGGUUGGCUUAGAAAGAGUUCCAACUGGAUUCUCAAGAACAGCCGCCUCAGAGCCUAUUUGCAACUUAAGCUUUCCCUCUGCGGUGAUUUUAGAACAGCUCCAUCAAGCAGAACAGGGGCCCCUAUUUUAGCACGGAGAAGAGAAGACACAGCUUCAGAGUGCCAACCACAGUCCCCAUGUUCUGACAGGUCAGCAAUGGGAUUGUUCCGAAGAACCAGGUGACUUUUCAUAAGCCAUCCAAAGGCUGAAAACCAGUCACCUAAGCUUUAGGGCAAAUACUUAUGUAUAAUGGAGACAAUCAGAGAUAUUAGGGUCAUUUCGCAAAGAAUCACACAAGCGGUCACAUUCGGAGGGCUUGAUUUUGAAUUUCGGCUCAGGUGUGGGGCACAGGCCAUUGGGUAAAACACACUGCUCCUCGAACAGCCACGGCAGGCACUCUGAUUCAGACACACCCCCUCUGAUUCACAAUGCCGCUCCAGCUUCCUCGUCCUCCAGAGGGACUCUAAUUUUCUGCUGGCCUAUACAACUCCCGUGCCACCUAGCCCAUGCAAGCAUGCACCCAGGCUCAGCUCACUGGAGCGCCAAUGAGCAAGGGAGCUGAAACAAGGGUCCACCCAUUUCUCUGCGCACCUGCCCUGGCAGUCCAAAUACCUCUGUAGGAAGUGAACUGGAGGGAGGGAGAGUGUCUUAAAAUAUAGUGGAUUUUUUUUCAAACAGAGUUUUUGACUGAACAAAUAUUUCCAGGGAAGGUGGCUGCCUUGCUCGAAAACUGUCACAUUUAUAUGGGAAAACCAAAAACUCAACACCUGAACUUUUUGCCCAGAAAAGGAGAAUGCCAGGUUUUUUCUUCUGUGUUUUUGUUAAAAACAAAGUCAACAUUUCCCACAAAACAAAAUCAACAUCCAGCCAGCUCUUGUCCCAAGGAUGGCCCUGUGGAAGGGCACUAUGCUGGCAUGUGGGAGACCUGCUCUGACACAGAAUGCCUCCGUGAGCUUGGGCAAGUCACUUAGGGUUUGUCUACACCCCAAAGUUGUACCACUGUCAUUCUACUGGUAUAAAGCCCACAGCCCCCCAAUUGUACACUUUGUUACACUGCUUAUGCCAGGACAGCUUCAUCUCCCAGAACAAGAAUAAGCUAUGGUGAUGAAUCCGCUAAUUAGGAAGCUACCAAUGGCCCUCAAGCCCCUCCUCACAGAUCUGUGACCAUCCAAGGGUGGCCAUGCAAGCACAUCCCCUUCUCCUGGCUAGUUAGCAGGAGGGGGCAGAAACCUUAGGGAGUUUCCUGACACUGGAAGUAUCUACGCUCUAGGGGGGCAGCAGCUGCAUGGCAAACUGGGAGCAGCAGGGACGCUGAAUGCAGGGGAAAUGGAAAGAGAACCGUGCACAGAGCUCAGACCGCACGCAACCAGGCCAUUACUGGUGGACAUGGCAGCUGGAUUCAGGGCUGUGCAGAACCAGCAGGGAGCCAGUGCAGAGGGGCCCCAAUGAGACAGGCCACUUAGUGAGGCUGGAAACAUGCAAGCUCCUAUUUGCCUCUUGCA